AGUGAACGCUGGCGGUAGGCCUAACACAUGCAAGUCGAACGGCAGCACAGUAAGAGCUUGCUCUUACGGGUGGCGAGUGGCGGACGGGUGAGGAAUACAUCGGAAUCUACUUUUUCGUGGGGGAUAACGUAGGGAAACUUACGCUAAUACCGCAUACGACCUACGGGUGAAAGCAGGGGAUCUUCGGACCUUGCGCGAUUGAAUGAGCCGAUGUCGGAUUAGCUAGUUGGCGGGGUAAAGGCCCACCAAGGCGACGAUCCGUAGCUGGUCUGAGAGGAUGAUCAGCCACACUGGACGUGAGACACGGUCCAGACUCCUACGGGAGGCAGCAGUGGCGAAUAUUGGCCAAUGGGCGCAAGCCUGAUCCAACCAUACCGAGUGGGUGAAGAAGGCCUUCGGGUUGUAAAGCCCUUUUGUUGGGAAAGAAAAGCAGCAGGUUAAUACCCCGCUGUUCUGACGGUACCCAAAGAAUAAGCACCGGCUAACUUCGUG
rnacentral:rRNA from 1 species